GACGAACGCUGGCGGCGUGCUUAACACAUGCAAGUCGAACGGAAAGGCCCUGCUUUUGUGGGGUGCUCGAGUGGCGAACGGGUGAGUAACACGUGAGUAACCUGCCCUUGACUUUGGGAUAACUUCAGGAAACUGGGGCUAAUACCGGAUAGGGGCUCCUGCUGCAUGGUGGGGGUUGGAAAGUUUCGGCGGUUGGGGAUGGACUCGCGGCUUAUCAGCUUGUUGGUUGGGUAGUGGCUUACCAAGGCUUUGACGGGUAGCCGGCCUGAGAGGGUGACCGGCCACAUUGGGACUGAGAUACGGCCCAGACUCCUACGGGAGGCAGCAGUGGGGAAUAUUGCACAGUGGGCGGAAGCCUGAUGCAGCAACGCCGCGUGCGGGAUGACGGCCUUCGGGUUGUAAACCGCUUUCGCCUGUGACGAAGCGUGAGUGACGGUAAUGGGUAAAGAAGCACCGGCUAACUACGUG
rnacentral:rRNA from 1 species